CAGUAGCCACGGUAACACGUAGGGUGCAAGCGUUAAUCGGAAUUACUGGGCGUAAAGCGUGCGCAGGCGGUUAUAUAAGACAGAUGUGAAAUCCCCGGGCUCAACCUGGGAACUGCAUUUGUGACUGUAUAGCUAGAGUACGGCAGAGGGGGAUGGAAUUCCGCGUGUAGCAGUGAAAUGCGUAGAUAUGCGGAGGAACACCGAUGGCGAAGGCAAUCCCCUGGGCCUGUACUGACGCUCAUGCACGAAAGCGUGGGGAGCAAACAGGAUUAGAUACCCGAGUAGUCCCUGUCUCUUAUAA
rnacentral:rRNA from 1 species